rnacentral:rRNA from 1 species
AUACGUAGGUGGCGAGCGUUAUCCGGAAUCAUUGGGCGUAAAGAGGGAGCAGGCGGUGAUACAGGUCUGGAGGUGAAAGCCCGAAGCUAAACUUCGGGAUGCCCCGGAAACCGGGUCACUUGAGUGCGGAAGAGGAUCGUGGCAUUCCAUGUGUAGCGGUGAAAUGCGUAGAUAUAUGGAGGAACACCGGUGGCGAAGGCGACGGUCUGGGCCGCAACUGACGCUCAUUCCCGAAAGCGUGGGGAGCAAAUAGGAUUAGAUACCCUAGUAGUCCACGCCGUAAACGAUCGAUACUAAGUGUCGGGCUUCAAGGCCCGGUGCUGCAGCCAACACAUUAAGUAUCGCGCCUGAGUAGUACGUUCGCAAGAAUGAAACUCAAAUGAAUUGACGGGG